CACGUAGGGUGCGAGCGUUGUCCGGAAUUAUUGGGCGUAAAGAGCUCGUAGGCGGUGUGUCGCGUCGGACCCUCGAAACUGCAGCUUAACUGUGGGCUUGCGGUCGAUACGGGCAUCACUGGAGUUCGGCAGGGGAGAUGGAAUUACCGGUGUAGCGGUGAAAUGCGUAGAGAUCGGUAGGAACACCAGUGGCGAAGGCGGUCUCCUGGAGCAUACUUGACGCUGAGGCGCGAAAGCUGGGGGGAGCGAACGGG
rnacentral:rRNA from 1 species